rnacentral:rRNA from 1 species
GAUGAACGCUGGCGGCGUGCCUAAUACAUGCAAGUCGAGCGAACGGACGAGAAGCUUGCUUCUCUGAUGUUAGCGGCGGACGGGUGAGUAACACGUGGAUAACCUACCUAUAAGACUGGGAUAACUUCGGGAAACCGGAGCUAAUACCGGAUGAUAUUUUGAACCGCAUGGUUCAAAAGUGAAAGACGGUCUUGCUGUCACUUAUAGAUGGAUCCGCGCUGCAUUAGCUAGUUGGUAAGGUAACGGCUUACCAAGGCAACGAUGCAUAGCCGACCUGAGAGGGUGAUCGGCCACACUGGAACUGAGACACGGUCCAGACUCCUACGGGAGGCAGCAGUAGGGAAUCUUCCGCAAUGGGCGAAAGCCUGACGGAGCAACGCCGCGUGAGUGGUGAAGGUCUUCGGAUCGUAAAACUCUGUCAUUAGGGAAGAACAUAUGUGUAAGUAACUGUGCACAUCUUGACGGUACCUAAUCAGAAAGCCACGGCUAACUACGUG